GAUGAACGCUGGCGGCGUGCUUAACACAUGCAAGUCGAACGAUGAAGCCCAGCUUGCUGGGUGGAUUAGUGGCGAACGGGUGAGUAACACGUGAGUAACCUGCCCUUGACUCUAGGAUAAGCCCGGGAAACGGGGUCUAAUACUGGAUAGGAACGUCUACCGCAUGGUGGGUGCUGGAAAGCAUUUCGGUCAUGGAUGGACUCGCGGCCUAUCAGCUUGUUGGCGAGGGAAUGGCUCACCAAGGCGACGACGGGUAGCCGGCCUGAGAGGUUGGCCGGCCACCCUGGGCCUGAGACACGGCCCAGUCUCCUACGGGAGGCAGCAGUGGGGAAUAUUGCACAAUGGGCGCAAGCCUGAUGCAGCGACGCCGCGUUAGUGAUGACGGCCUUCGGGUUGUAAACCUCUUUCAGUAGGGAAGAAGCGAAAGUGACGGUACCUGCAGAAGAAGCACCGGCUAACUACGUG
rnacentral:rRNA from 1 species